rnacentral:rRNA from 1 species
UACUAGAGUAGCACUCGCAUAUCAAUAAGCGGAGGAAAAGAAACUAACAAGGAUUCCCCUAGUAACGGCGAGUGAAGCGGGAAGAGCUCAAAUUUGAAAUCUUAAAGGGUUUCCCCUUACGAAUUGUAGUUUAAAGAAGUGUUUUCUGUUGAGGUUUUGGUAAAAGUUCUUUGGAAUAGGACAUCAUAGAGGGUGAGAAUCCCGUAUUUGACCUUUACUUUCAACUUUGUGAUACACUUUCAAAGAGUCGGAUUGUUUGGGAAUGCAGUCCAAAAUGGGUGGUAAAUUUCAUCUAAAGCUAAAUAUUGGCGAGAGACCGAUAGCGAACAAGUAUCGUGAGGGAAAGAUGAAAAGAACUUUGAAAAGAGAGUUAAACAGUACGUGAAAUUGUCAAAAGGGAAGCGUUUGACACCAGUGUUGUUUUUCUGAAAAUCAAUUAAAGAACUGUUUAUGCUAAGUUGUUUAGACUUUAUCAGCUAUCUGUUUAGUUUUGAGCUUUUCUUUAAUGCACUUUUCAGUUAACAAGUCAACAUCAAUUUCUUUUGCUGUAAAAAAGCUUGAGGAAGGUGGCUUGAGAUUCGUCUUAAGUGUUUAUAGCCUCUUGCCUAUGCAGUCGGAGAGAUUGAGGUCUGCAGCGUAGAUCCUUCGGGGCUAAAUGCAUUUGUGCUAAGUUAUAGCAUUUUAUAGACAACUUGUUGACUAUGAUUUGUCUUGUAGCUUACUCGCUUAUGUUAUUUUACCUACGCUUAGGAUGUUGAACUACUGAGACAUAGA